AUAGCACUUUAACUAUUUAUACUUGAUUCUUGUUGUUGCUGAGAGUAGAUGUUAUGACAGAGUUAGGUCUCUUAAAAGGGAGGUACAAAGAGAGAUUAGACAAGUCUAUGAAGUUUCUGAACAUAGUGAGGAUUUGAAAUCCACUAAUGGUACUUAUUUAGCUUCAGAAAAACUGCUUUAGACCUAAAACAACCACUGGCUGGGAGAGAGUUGAUAAGGGGAAGCUGUUUGUGUUUGCCUUAUUUGAUUUUCCAUCUGGAUGCUUGAAGUCUGAGCUGAGUACAAUGUUGCAGUGAAAUGUGCAACAAUAACACCUGAUGAGACCUGAGUUAAAGAAUUUGGACUGAAGUCCAUGUGGAGAAGCCCCAAUGGCACAAUUAGGAAUAUUUUAAAUGGUACUGUUUUCCGUGAACCCAUAAUAUGCCACAACAUACAGAGAAUUGUUUCCGGUAAUGCCUUAACUCUUGUUUGAUCCUUAAUAGAGGUGAAGAAGUACCAUUCAGAACUUAUUCUUUAGUUACAGGAUGGAAAAAACCCAUUUGUAUUGGUAGGCAUGCUUUUGGUGACCAGUAUCGUGCCACUGAUGCAAUAAUUACAGGAUCAGGGAAGCUUAAGUUGGUAUUUGGUAUGUUAAUUUCCAAAGCCCUGCUUUCAAUGGAUUUUUAUAGACAAGGACCACUGGGAGUUCUUAUAACCGAUAUAUGCUGAUUCUAGAAAGUCUGGGAUGAGGAUUGAACCUGUUAUCUAGUGAAAACAGUGCAAUUUGCCAAGGAGAUGGGAUUGAAUCCCUCCUUUAUGGAGGCACCAUUCUACUGGGGAAGGGGGACAUCAGUUUCACUCUCCUUUUUUCCUGAACUCACCUGUGCACGUCCUUUUGCUCAUGAGUUUCCUACUUUUUUUUUUUUUGAACGGCCAAAAGUAUCAUAUAUUAUAUAAGGAUAGUACCAGGGGUACUACAAAGAUACAUAUAGAAAGCCAUAGGCUGAGGUUAGAGAGUAAAAUCUACACAAGCUUCCCCAACUAGAGACCUUACAAAAACCACCCAUCCUUCCCAUGCUAGGAGAAGGCAAAGGACAUAGAUGAUGACCAUUAUGAAACGGAAUGGCAAAGUCCUUUUCCCACCCCCUCAACCAAGACCAGGUGAGAAAAAUUACAUCAUCCACCAACUUAGAAAUAUCAAACUGUUGAUUUUUAAAAAUCAUAGCGUUCCUGUAGUUCCAAAUAGAAACUGUGGCUGCUACCCACCAAACCUUCCACUUUCUAUUAAUAGCUUGCGAAGCAGCCAAAGAGAUGUGCUGAGUGAAGUGGUCCACAGGCCUACAAUGCAUGACUCUAGCUUCCUUGACCCAAGAGAUAAAUUCCCACCACAGUGGCAUAAUCUUUUUGCAAGAGAAGAAAAGAUGAGAGGCAGAUUCCACUUGGCUUUGGCAAAAGGUGCAGAGGUCACUAUCAAGCGCGACUUGCCGUCUAGAUAAGUUUUCCUUAGUCGGAAGUCUAUCCCACAGGAGUCUCCAAGCAAAGGAUAGGGCUUUCGGAGGAGCUUUAGAUGGGAAGGUAUCUCUUAUCAUUUACUGGUUUUAAGGCAAAGAGCCCAAUGCAUUUCGGAACUGUGGUCCAUAGGUCCAACAAGCUAACUUCCAUCAGAAAACAAACAAAACAUGUUUCUCUUGAUACUCUCCAUUUAAGAUUUACUUAGCUGUUUAAUUUUUGUCAAUGGACUCAUUUUGAAUUAUCUGCAAGAGGGCAUGCAGUGAUGUUCUUAGCCAAGCUGGAUAAUAAUGAAAAAUUACGGGAGUUUACUCAAAAGUUGGAGGCUGCAUGUGUUGAGACAGUGGAGUCAGGAAAGAUGACUAAAGAUCUUGCAAUUCUGAUUCAUGGACCCAAGGUAUCAAGGGAAUUUUACUUGAAUGCGGAGGAAUUUAUUGAUGCUGUGGCACAUACUAUUGAGAGAAAGCUCCGAGAGCCUGCAGUGGUCUAGGCGUUAUUUUUGCAGGGGGAAGGAGGAACAGAAGUUGGAAAAGCUAAACAAUGGUUUGAUGGGUGCUUAAUUUUUUGGCCUGUGACACAUAUUGGUUGGAAUCAUGGGACCCUCGAAUGUCAGGAAAACUUUAAUUGGUGGGGGGUCAUGACAAUUUGAUAAUUGAUUCUUAGGUUCUUUUUGGAUAAGUUCUCUAGUAGAGCUUGUAAGAGAAGAGCUUAUCCAGAAGCUCUGUUAGUCCUUUGGCCACUGGCUGUUCCAUUCUUACACACCACUACUGUUAUUUAAAACGUUAAAAUUCCCUGAGUAUGGACCAGCGAAAUUAGGAAAGUACAAACUUUUGAUGUGAAUAAUGCAGAUGACGGAUAAUGUUUUUACUGUGAA